rfam:Oryza nivara chromosome 8, whole genome shotgun sequence.
AAUAAGUGUAGCCAUGAGUUUCCGCGUCCAACUUCGAUCGUCCGUCUUAUUUGAAUUUUUUUUAUAAUAAGAUGAUAAAACAUGAAUAAUACUUUACUCGUGACUUAUGUUUUUAAUUUUUUUCAAAAAAUUUUCAAAUAAGAUGAAUGAUUAAAGUUUGGCGUGAAAAACUAUGACUGCACUUAUU